GAAAAUAAAAUAAAAAAUAAUUAUAAUUUAUCUAAAAAAAAAAAAAUUUUUUUUGAAGUAGACCUUAACAUUUAGGGGGAUAAAAAAUAGAUGUUGUUCAAUUCUCAGACUUACCCGAUAUGCACACAAAAUUUCAUGAGAAUCGGUCAAGCCGUUUCGGAGGAGUUUAACUACAAACACCGCGACACGAGAAUUUUAUAUAUUAGAUUAUACAGUUAAAGUUUGAAGCUGGAGCAGUCAUCAAAAUAAAAGAGACAAAAACGUAAUAUUUUUCAGUCUAAAUUUUUUGCCUCAGGAUUUACAUAUCGAGUUAUAUUUCGUUUUUAAUGUGAUAAUAAACGCAGAUAACAGGACGACGAGCACCAUCCAUAAUACCUGUGAACAUUAACAUAAAGCGUUAACGCGGGUAUAUAUAUCGACUGUCGCCACUGCACCUUGCAUCAUUUGCUUACCGCUAUCAGAGCUCUAAGCAAAAUUAUACACAAAAUGUCUCGCACAAGCUUAAUACUUCUUCUUGUUUGUUUCGUGUGCGUCGCCGAGAUUACAAAUGCAUACUUCAUUAAAGAAAGCAGUAGCAGUGCAGUUCAUCAAUCAUGUUUAAGUAAGGGAAAAUCUUGUAAGCGCAAUGAUGAUUGCUGCGAUAAACUAUGUUUUCCAUUCGUGCAGAAAUGCGUUAAGAAAUAAUUUUGUUUGAAAUGAAUAUAAUAUUAUAUUAUUUAAUUAUUUACCGUAAGGUACGGAAUGGGUUAAUAUUAGAUAAAUCUGGAGACUUUGGUGAUUUUUUCUUAAAAUUAUUGUACCUAGAUAUGAUAUUAUACAAUAAGGUUAACACAAUAAAAUGAAAUGAAACGUUCGUUUGUUUAUUUACUGAAAUCCCAGUUAAUCAUCUCAUCAAUCAACUUUCAAAGUCAUGGUGGAAUUUUAAAGAAGAAAAUAUGCAAUCGUAAGAUCCAAGUGACUUGUUCCUAACUUCCUUGAUUACGUUUCAAAAGCAACAUUCAUCUGCAAUUACAACUUUUUUGAGUUUUAAAUCUGAACUUUAGUUGUUUCUAGAUUAUAAUCGAAAAUAUCGGCG
rnacentral:misc_RNA from 1 species